GACGAACGCUGGCGGCGUGCUUAACACAUGCAAGUCGAACGGAAAGGCCCUGCUUUUGUGGGGUGCUCGAGUGGCGAACGGGUGAGUAUCACGUGAGUAACCUGCCCUUGACUUUGGGAUAACUUCAGGAAACUGGGGCUAAUACCGGAUAGGAGCUCCUGCUGCAUGGUGGGGGUUGGAAAGUUUCGGCGGUUGGGGAUGGACUCGCGGCCUAUCAGCUUGUUGGUGGGGUAGUGGCUUACAAAGGCUUUGACGGGUAGCCGGCCUGAGAGCGUGACCGGCCACAUUGGGACUGAGAUACGGCCCAGACUCCUACGGGGGGCAGCAGUGGGGGAUAUUGCACAAUGGGCGGAAGCCGGAUGCAGCAACGCCGCGUGCGAGAUGACUGCCUUCGGGUUGGAAACCGCUUUCGCCUGUGACGAAGCGUAAGUGACGGUAAUGGGUAAAGAAGCACCGGCUAACUACGUG
rnacentral:rRNA from 1 species